UACGUAGGGUGCGAGCGUUAAUCGGAAUUACUGGGCGUAAAGCGUGCGCAGGCGGUGAUGUAAGACAGGUGUGAAAUCCCCGGGCUCAACCUGGGACUUGCAGUUGAAACUGGAAAGCUAGAGUAGGGUAGAGGGGUGUGGAAUUCCAGGUGUAGCGGUGAAAUGCGUAGAUAUCAGGAGGAACACCGAUGGCGAAGGCAGAUCUCUGGGCCGUAACUGACGCUGAGGAGCGAAAGCAUGGGGAGCGAACAGG
rnacentral:rRNA from 1 species